UACAGAGGUGGCAAGCGUUGUUCGGAAUUACUGGGCGUAAAGGGCGCGUAGGCGGUUCGAUAAGUCCUGUGUGAAAUCCCUCGGCUCAACUGAGGAACUGCACGGGAGACUGUCGGGCUUGAGUUCGGGAGAGGGAAGCGGAAUUCCUGGUGUAGCGGUGAAAUGCGCAGAUAUCAGGAGGAACACCAAUGGCGAAGGCAGCUCGCUGGGACGUGACUGACGCUGAGACGCGAAAGCGUGGGGAGCAAACAGG
rnacentral:rRNA from 1 species